GAAUAUCAUUCUUUCUUUGAUCUAUUCCAUCUAAUGUUGAUGCCAUAAUCUUCUGCUUUCUACAUAAAGUUCCCCACAUCUUAUCAUCCAAAGUUUCCUCAGCAAUAAGAUAAUGUAUAUUAAUGCAUGAAUAUUGAGUACCUAUUCUAUGACAUCUAUCUUCAGCCUGUAACAUUGUACCUGGUACCCAAUAUAAUUCAGCAAAUAUUACAGUACCGGCACUUGUCAAAUUCAAACCUUGGCCACAAGCUGUAAUUGAAAGCAAAGCAACUUUACAAUUUUCAUUAUUUUGAAAUUCCUUCACAUACUCUUCCCUCUUAUUUCCUGGAGUUUUACCAUCUAUUCUAAUAAAUAAAAAUGGCCCGCCUGAAUUGCAUGC
rnacentral:antisense_RNA from 1 species